rnacentral:rRNA from 1 species
GUCACGCUGUAAACGAUGCCGAUUUGGAGUUUGUUGCCUAGAGUGAUGGGCUCCGAAGCUAACGCGAUAAAUCGACCGCUGGGGAGUACGGCCGCAAGGUUAAAACUCAAAUGAAUUGACGGGGGCCCGCACAAGCGGUGGAGCAUGUGGUUUAAUUCGAUGCAACGCGAAGAACCUUACCUGGUCUUGACAUCCAUAGAAUUCUGCAGAGAUGCGGGAGUGCCUUCGGGAACUAUGAGACAGGUGCUGCAUGGCUGUCGUCAGCUCGUGUUGUGAAAUGUUGGGUUAAGUCCCGCAACGAGCGCAACCCUUAUUCUUUGUUGCCAGCGAUUUGGUCGGGAACUCAAAGGAGACUGCCGUUGAUAAAGCGGAGGAAGGUGGGGACGACGUCAAGUCAUCAUGGCCCUUACGACCAGGGCUACACACGUGCUACAAUGGCGUAUACAAAGGGAAGCGAAGGUGCGGGCUGGAGCGGAUCUCAUAAAGUACGUCUAAGUUCGGAUUGGAGUCUGCAACUCGACUCCAUGAAGUCGGAAUCGCUAGUAAUCGUAGAUCAGAAUGCUACGGUGAAUACGUUCCCGGGCCUUGUACACACCGCCCGUCACACCAUGGGAGUGGGUUGCACCAGGAGUAGAUAGCUUAACCGCGAGGGGGGCGUUUACCACGGUGUGAUUCAUGACUGGGGUGAAGUCGUAACAAGGUAACCA